ACGCUCGACACCUACGGGAAGCAGCAGUGGGGAAUAUUGCACAAUGGGGGAAACCCUGAUGCAGCGACGCCGCGUGAAGGAAGAAGUAUCUCGGUAUGUAAACUUCUAUCAGCAGGGAAGAAAGUGACGGUACCUGACUAAGAAGCCCCGGCUAACUACGUGUCAGCAGCCGCGGUAAUCUGAGCGGGCUGGCAAGGC
rnacentral:rRNA from 1 species